GACGCAGCCGGGACGGUAGCUGCGGUGCGGACCGGAGGAGCCAUCUUGUCUCGUCGCCGGGGAGUCAGGCCCCUAAAUCGAAGAAGCCCUGGCGCGCCCUCCCCCCCUCCCGGGUCUGGUAGGGCGAAGGAACGGGCGUGCGGUCGAUCGAGCGAUCGGUUGGCGGCUCUUUCUCCUGCUCUGGCAUCCAGCUCUUGGGGCGCAGGCCCGGCCGCCGCGGCGCGCGCCCGGUGGCCGUUGGCGCUCGCGCCGCGUCUUUCUUCUCGUACGCAGAACUCGGGCGGCGGCCUAUGCGUUUGCGAUUCGACGAGGAGUCGUCCGGGUGGUCGGCGGCGGCGGGCAGCUGCUCCGCCCCGCUCCGGGGGAGGCGGCGGCGGCAGCGGCCGCGGGAUUUGGAGCGGCCGGGGAGGCGGGGGUGGCCGGGGCCGGCUUGGAGGCCUGGCGCCACCCUUCGGGGCCUGCAAGGACCCAGUUGGGGGGGCAGGAGGGGGCCGGAGGAUGGUUGGUUGUGGGAUUUCUACUUUGCCUUUUCCUCCUUAUGCCGCCUUAGUGAGGGGCGGGAGCUCUGGCGGCAGCCCCGGGGUGGGGAGACGAGCUCCGGAGUCGGAAGAGCUGGGUUUUCUUCCGGGCCUAGCCACCAGUUGGCGGAGUGACCUUAGGCGAGUCACUCUGUAAUUUGUCUGCGCCUCAGUUUCCUCCUCUGCCUAUCAAUGUGUGUGGGGUUGAAAUCGCUUUGUAAACUAUAAAGCGUGGGUGUACGUAAAGGAUGGUUAUUGUUUAUAAUUUUUUUUGAGUUGUAAGAAAACUUAGCAGUUCCCCAAUCCUUGGGUUUUGAACCUGGGAACCUUGGAUUGGAGUUGGGGAUCCCCAAACUUCCUGAAAUUGUGGGAAUGUGCGGUUUGGGGGAAUGAUGGGAAUUUGUGGGAAUGUGCGUUUUAGGGGAAUGAUGAUCCAUCGCUAGCAAGUUUUCCAAGGGGGCUGUGACCCAGAAGAGUUAAGAAUCACAAUUUCUUCAUGCUACAGAGAGGAAACUGAGGCCUAGAUGUCAUUUGGGACCCUUCACAACCAUUUUGAAGCCCUGUUUGAGUCCCUGGGAUAUGUGAGCUGUUUCUAUGCAUAAUGGAUAUUCGGGGUUAACAACAGUCCCCUGCUUGGCUUCUAUUCUGAAUCCUUUUCUUUCACCAUGGGGUGCCUGAAGGGUGGCUGAUGCAUAUGGUACAAUGGCACCCAGUGUAAAGCAGCUACAAUUAGGAGUGGAUGUGUUCUGUAGCAUCCUAUUUAAAUAAGCCUAUUUUAUCCUUUGGCCCGUCAACUCUGUUAUCUGCUGCUUGUACUGGUGCCUGUACUUUUCUGACUCUCAUUGACCAUAUUCCACGACCAUGGUUGUCAUCCAUUACUUGAUCCUACUUUACAUGUCUAGGCUGUGUGGUUGGUGGUGAAUAGGCUUCUUUUUACAUGGUGCUGCCAGCCCAGCUAAUUAAUGGUGCACGUGGACUUUUAGCAAGCGGGCUCACUGGAAGAGACUGAACCUGGCAUGGAAUUCCUGAAGAUGUUUGGGGUUUUUUUCUUUCUUAAUCGAAAGUUAACAUUGUCUGAAAAGUUUUGUUAGAACUACUGCGGAACCUCAAAAUCAGUAGAUUUGGAAGUGAUUCAAAGCUAAACUUUUUCCUUGGCCCUCCUUGUGUUCUAAUUGCUUGCAAGUGUAAUACUAGGAUGUCCAAGAUGCCAGUUUUUGCUUCUUUGUUAGUUGUCAGCUGCUUUUAUCAAAUUUCAGGCCAUUAUCCAACAAACACUAUAAAAAUGUUUGAACAAUUGGAUUUCAAACAUUUUCGUUUUGUGGAGUGGUGCUCACCAAGUGGUACAGCCCUAAGCAAGUGAACACAAACACAUUUAAGUGUAUUUUGUCUGAUUAGAUGUUAGCCAGUUAUGCUAUUUCAUUCAAAUGUCUGAAAAAAUCAAUUGACUAUUCCCUUUUCCUAAAGGGCAGAGACAGAUAAUCUCACUUCCAGAGAAAUGACUUGGAGAAAAAAAAGUGUUGGUCUUUUUGCUCUUUUGUAAUUAAAUCCGGAUGUACCUCAAAAGACUUAAGACUGUGGUGAUAAGAUGCUUUCCUCAGCAGAAAGGAGGGAAAAAAAACAACUGGAACUCAAAGCUUGAAAUUCUGUGGCAAAACAUGAGAUGUCCAGGAUUGGAGGUUGAAAAGAUUUCACUACAGUGUUCUGCAAUAGUUGGAGCAGAUAACUUUCAGUGUAGCCACAGCCAUGGACUCCAGAUUUCCAGAUUUUCAAGACCUGGACCUGGAACCCGAAAGAGCUUGUCACGAUGCGGCAGGAACACUGGAGGUAGAUUUUUUUUUAUUUUUGAAUUUUGGGACUGUUGACCUUGCUGUGAGAAAAGAGACAACGACUGAGCAAGCACUACCACCAGCACUGUUACUGGGAAUUAGAAGACCUGAGUUUCUGUCCAGACCCUCAGUGCAAACUGAGGAUGCUCCAUCCAAAGUGAAUUAUGGUACUUGCCAUUUUCCAAAAUGCCUUAUCCUUUACCAUCUCUGCACUUUUGUUCAUACUCUCAUUCUACUUUGGAACUGCUGCUCUGUGGCUUUUCAUCUGUCAAAACUGCCAUUUUCUCAGUAUCCAACUCUUAUGCCCUCUUUUCCAUGAGUCUCCUAACUAGCCAGAAUAGAGCUUUAAAGUUUUAUGACAUUUCGUUAUGUAUCCUCUAUCUGUAUACAAAAUCCUGUAAAAUAGUUACUUGCCUGCAUUUACUGUCUUUGCAGAUAGCAGACUCCUUGAAAGCAGGGUCCUUGUUUAGUGCAUCUUUGCCCACAUACACCACAACAUAUCAAGAUGCAUUUAUUAGGAAGGAGGAGUUUAGAGAGCAGGCUAUCAGAAUAACCACUCACCUACAGACCUGGUACCUGGAUUUUUGCCCGAGAUGAUUCCUACCACCUUACUACUGACGAAGACACCCAUUCCAGUGGACCACUGUGACCCAGGAGGCAUUCAGCCAUCAUGAUGUGGCCUUUACCUCCACUCCUGUCUUGUUCUACCCAGAUUCAGCACAGCCCUUUAUAGUGAAGUCAGAGUCCUCAAGCCAAAUAGCUAAAGCUGUUUUAUCACAACAAAGGCCUAGUUUGUUCCAUGAGUGUGCAUUUCAUUUCUUCAGUUAAAGCCUUCAGAGACACACAAUAAAUUUGGACCAGGGGAUUUUUUAGUUAUUAAUGCUCUCUGAAGAAAGGCAACAUCUUUUUGAGAGCAGCAUUGGACCACACCCCACAAUCUCAAAUGAUUGAAAUUCAUGAACAUCUAGGAUCCCGUGAAGGUCACUGGACCCUGUUUUUUCUACUUCAAAUCCUGUAGUAGCCUACUGAAUGAGAAAACAUAUUCUGACCCAUUGGGAUCAAAUCAAAGGCACAGUGAACUCCUCAUAGCAUCUUCUUUGGAAUUACUCAGGAACCAGAACUUUUUACACAAAUGUAAGAAAUUCUACCAAGGAGUCCCCUUACCUAACAGCAUCUCACAAGGCUGCACCAGAUUCCAGAAAAGGCUUCUCUUGAUACAUCAAGGUAGAACCUCUAUGCAUUUUGUGACCGACUUAUUCUUAGAUCAUUGGUUUUCCAAAGGCUUUGUGGCCAUGAAGCCCUUUGAGUGAAAACUGUGCAGAAGCCCAGAGUAAAAGUGAAGCUGCUCUGGAUGAAGUAGUGAAGCAAGAGUAGGGGCCUGAAUCCUGCUACAACUAUCUUCCUUUACCACCGUGGUGACACCUAAGGGGACUUCCUUACAACACCUUGAACUCUUCCGAACACAGUUUGAAAACCACUGCCCCAGACAGCAAUAUGUUUGACCUGAAUGGCAUUCCAAUCUUUUCUGUACCUCCACUCAGCACAGUUCAUGUUCAGUAGAUGCUGAACAUUCUUAGAAAUACUGUGUGUGAACUUAGAAAAGUGCAAGAAGACAGGCAUGUCUUUGACCCCAGGAAUGAUCAUUUGCUGAAGAUGGUGUCAAGUGAACCUAGAUUAACAGCCCUCCACUCCAGAUGGAUAUCCAGUGAUUCCUAGAAUGGGAUAUAGCCAGAGAACAAUUCUAUGCACCCUACACUGACAGACUCCCUUAAGCAACACCAGAUGCUCUACUGGUACUUGAAGUACAUGACUUUGAAGUCUUGACCCUCCAUGAAUACCUGAAUUAUCAGCAAGCGGGUUUUGAAGCUGGUGCCUCAUUGAGGCCAUAUUAGAGCAACUUGUACAUUUGACCUCUUGUUAUCAGCCAUGGUACUCUACUUCGUGUGCAAGAGAUAACUAUGAAAGCCAAAUUCAAAUACUGGCAACAUUUCCUAAAGGGGCUCAAUAUCUAUCAUUCGUCUUCUUUUCCAAACUACACAUCACUGUAUGACUCAACCAGUAGCAGUUAUAUUGCCCCUUGGUUUUUAUUCAGUUUAACUACUGUUUCCAAGAUAAAUGAGCUAAUAAGCUUUAAAAAAAAAAAAAAAAAAGGCUGAAUUCUUUUUUCUUCAUCACUGGCAUAUCUGCCUAUUCUCCAGAAUUAUUAUGACUAUUCAGCUCACUUUAACAGUUGAACUUCAAGCGACAAUCUUUGAACACCCCUUCUCAUGUGAUUUAAAAUGAAACCAUUUGGAAAAGUUUCUUCUAGCCAGUAAUAGAUUUUUUUUUUAAUUGCUCUGCCUUGUGCCGAGAGAUGUUCUUUUAAGAUGAAUCUUUUGAUGUCUGAUACCACCAAAUAUAGGUGGUAGGGAGAGUUGGAGGCUGGCCCUUUGAGCAGGCCAUUAGCUUACUUGCUGGGCAUUUCCGAUAGCUUAUUGCCUACCUUUUUGCUGGAAACAAACUGAUUUGAAAAACAAAAUCUAUGAAGACUGCAGCUAAGGAUUUUAUCGGUAGACUUAAGAGCUUUUGUCCUUGUGGAUAUUUUAGUGGAACCACAUCAGUCUCAAUACUGUCAUUUUACACUGACUCAGAGCAGCUGACUUCAUUCCUUGCCAUGAUAUAUAUUUAAGGCAGGCAUUGUAACAGACAUAAAGACAACUUAUCUGUUUCAGCAGGAAGGAUUCAGUUUAUGAACUCUCAGACCAGAUCAUGUUGAACAAGGAGACUUUGAUGUGUGUCAUGAGAAAACUCAUUCUUUACUUCCCAGUCAAUUUAAAGGCCAGCUAUCCUGAGCUACUCGAAUGAAUGCACUGGUUAAACAUUGGAAAUAGUUUGUUUAUAUCCUUGUCUCUCUCUAGGCCAAUUGUGAUUACAUGACUCGACUCUACAUCUCGUCAAACAAGGCCUAGGUCUGGUUGCUGUAGACUGCUCGCCCUCAACAAAUAAAAUCUGGUUGACUAGCCUCCUUGUAUAUACAACUAUUAUUUGUUAAGAAGAAAUUAUCGUCAAUUUUCUACUACCUUCCAAUUGUCAGCUCUUUUUUUCCUCUCUGGUUUUUCCUAUACUUUACAGAAAAAGACAUUGAUCUAUACUGCCAUUCCCUCUAAUCCUGCCAUACUCAGUCAAAAGGAAUGACUUAAGAUGAAGAUGAUCAUCUGCUCGAGUCUAAAAUAUACAUUGUAUAUAAGAAUUGGUGAUUAGAAAAGCAAAAAACCUAAAACUUAAAUCUAGGAGUCUGUAUACUGUCUCCAUGUCUCCAUGCCUCAGAUCUCAUCUAAAUCUUUGAACAGCACCAUUCAACCAAUCUGAGGCCUUGACUUGCUUGUAAGAUGAUUCUCAGAGAUCGGCUGAGUUAAAAAAGAUGACGACUUGAUUACCAAAGAAAGUAGGGCCAACUUUGACAAAUCUGGCUCUGCUGACCCUGUCACUCCCAGAUGUAGCAUAGACUCCUAAACAGAACCUCAAGUCUGAUUGAGGAUAAGGCCUUCUCCUGAGCUGAAAGUUCUUUGGCAGAUGAGCAAGAAACUGAAAGCUGAUGUACCUGACUGGCUCUGUAAGAUCAGAAAACUGUAUCCAGAAUAAGCCCUAUGGAUUAACCCCUGAGUACCCAGAGUAAAAACUAAUUUACAGAACUUCCUUAUUGAUCUGCUGGUUCUUCCAGAUCAUAUUCUGGCUAUUGGUAUGGCUGGCCUUUCUGAAGGUACCCUGCUUGUCUAUUUUCCUGACUCAGCUCUUGCCUGCCUUUUUCACAUGUUGCUGCAAUUAGACUCACCGUGAGGACUACAGUCAAUUUCAGUCUAUCUUGUGCCCAAUACAACAAGGAUUUUUAAUAGUAACAACCCACACCUCACCCACUAGGACUCAAUGUUCACAACAGGAAGGACCAUUGCUGCAUACUCCUUGACCAGCAACUUUUUUGAAGAUAUUUUUAAGUGCAGAGUAGGCCUCUAUUCCUGUAUGUAAUUGUUCAUUUUCAGCACCUGGAACCUCAUCUAUCGGGUCUGGAAGGAAUACAGCAGUUCGAAAGCCGCGUCCAUUUCUCUCCUUCAGUAGUGCAGAAAUGAGUCCGAUUCACCAGUACACACAGAACUGUACCAGUUCAACCUAGCAAAAGAAGAAAAGUUUCCACUGUACUUAAAAUUUACAGCUGACUCAAAUUGCCUCACAGAAUUAUUUGAUGUAGAAGGCUAGUUGUCUUACUUCAGAUCAGCAGGACAGUUGGGCUCUCAGACUCAUGACCACUGAGUUUGCUUGUGUUGAAACUGUGGUUUCAUCCAACAUAUGCUAUUGGACAUGAUUAUUAUUCCAUUCAAAUGGAUUACAGACUUCUUGAGGACAGGACAAACUUAUCUCUCAUGGUGUUUUUUUAGAAUACUUUUAUAACCAAGGAAGAAACCAUGCCAGCUGUUACCAUUCAACUUCUUAAGCAGAGAUUAAGCUUUUUCAUAUCUGUUCUUAUCCUGGACAUCAGUAGUUUUUAAUUGCCCAGCAUCCGUUCCAUCUUGUAACAACUCCCUGAUGUUUCUUAAAACCACCUCUUCCUAUUUUCAGUCUGUGGUUUGGACAGUCUGACCCAACCUUGAGCUUUGUGGGUGAACAUGUAAUUCAGACCUCAUCAAUCAGCAAAUCCAUCUGAACUGUGGAGGAGAAGCUCUCUUUACUGAGGGUGCUUUAGCUUUGUAGGAUGAAAACCUCAAACUAACAGGGCCUACCAUGUAGAGAAUGAAGCCAGUGCAGGGGAAAGCAGAGCCAAAAUAUGGAGAGACUUGAAUCCUGAUGACAGCGUUUGUGCCCCUGGAUCCAACCGUGCCUGAAGCUAGAAUAUCCCCUGGACUUUUCAGUUAUGUGAACCAAUAAAUACCCUUUUUUGCUUAAGUUACUUUGAGUUGGGUUUCUGUUACUUGAAAUUGAAUCCACACUAAUAUAUCUACCAACAUUGAGACUUGACAGAUCCAAGUAUUUAUUAAGCUAGAGGUCAUGGUCACUGAAAUUACUUUCCAAAGUGGAAGACAAAAUGAAACAGGAACUGAGGGAAUAUUUAAGAUCCCACAGAAGCGUAAAAAUGACAUGGUAGAAAGUAAUAGAAAACCUAAAUGUCUGUCAUUAAAGGAUAGGUUAAGGUGUGGUUCAGCCAUAUAGGAAUAUCUCGUAUCUGUUAAAAUGAAUAAAGUACAUUCAUUGUGUAUGGAAAAAUGGCCAUGAUACAUUAGGUGAAACAAGUUAUUAAUAGAAAAGUGUACAGUGUGAACUCAUUUUAAAAUGUGUGUGCUUAUGUUUAUAAAUGCAUAGAAAGGUCUAUUCACAGCUUUCUUUGAACAGUGUAGAUCACAUGAAACUUUCAACUUUAUACAUUUCUGUAUUAAUAUUUUACACUACCCACAUUAUUUUUAAACUUUAUUUUAAAUAAAGAAUUUUUAAAAUUAAAUUUAGUGCUUACUGUUUGACCUUGGCAAGUUAUUCAACACUGAGCCUGUUUUAUC
rnacentral:lncRNA from 1 species